UUUUUGGUGGCUAAGUCAGUAAAGUGUCUGCCUACAAUGCAGGAGACCCGGGUUUGAUCCCUGGGUUGGAAA
rnacentral:tRNA from 1 species